GUGUUGGGACUCAGUGGUAGAGUGCUUGCCUAGCAUGUAUGAGGCACAGGGUUCGAAACCCAGCACCACA
rnacentral:tRNA from 1 species